CUGUAACGAGUGUUGCUUAGUAAUUUGUUUAAGUAGUCUUGAGAGGAUGACAUCUUUCCUUUGUUUUUGUCUGUAUACAUACUGAAACAAAAAUUGUUAGUUGUCUUCUUUUAUUAGUCUACUUAGAUGAUCUGCUAGGUUAUUAUCUUUACCUUUAAUAUGUUCUAGAACAAUAUUAUAAAUUGAAGUGGUUUUUAGGAAAUUUAACCACCUCCUUUUACUACUAUUCUUCUCCUUUAUUUUCUGAUAGAAUUUUACUAUAACCUCGCAGUCUGUUCUUACUAAGAUUUCUGACUUAUUUAAUAUAUAAAGUUUAAAGCUAUUCAAAUCGUAAAUUACUGCUAAUGUCUCCACAUCUAUGCUAUUUAAUUUGCCCUUUUCUUUAUAUUCUCCACUUGAAUAAGCACAUAUUUUCUCAUCCUUUUUGUCACUAUAUUUGUUAGGCUUCGCUUUUAAUACUGCUCCCCAUCCUUGAAGACUUUCGUUUGUCUCAACUAUUAAAUAAUCUGUUUCUAAUGGUAACGUUAAGUAUGGGAUGUCUUGUAUCAUGCUUUUAAGUUGUUGGACUAAUUUUAUAUCUUCAGUAUUAAAGGUUUUUCGGCCUGUUGAUCCAGGACAAGUAUUUGUUAAGUGCUCUAUACUACCGCAGGUAAAACAUUCUAAUUUAUUUUUAUAGAUUCUAUUGGUAUUAUAUUUUCUUUUAUGUUUAUUCUUAUCUAGGUAUGGAUUCUUUGCAGUUGAUCUGGAGAAAAUAUACUUUGAUCUUUAUAAUUUGGACACUUACACUGAACUAAGGACAACGAAGGAGGGAGUACUGAGUGGAUUUUAUACCAUAUAAAAACACAUCCACAUUAAGUCUGCUUUAUUUUCUCAUAACUACUUACCUGCUUUAAUUACUUUUCUUAACUUGUUUAUUUAUUAAGAACAUAUUUUCUCAUCCUUUUUGUCACUAUAUUUGUUAGGCUUUGCUUUUAAUACUGCUCCCCAUCCUGGAGUACUGAGUAGGAUUUUACACCAUAUAAAAACACAUCCACACUAAGUCAGCUUUAUUUUCUCAUAACUACUUACCUGCUUUAAUUACUUUUCUUAACUUAUUUAUUUACUUUGCUUAUAACAUAUACUAAAACCUGCUUAAUAAUUAUUUGGUUUGUUUAAUUUAUUAUCUAUCUGUCCAGUCAAUUAUUAUUGUUAUCUAUUAUCUGUUUUAUUAUAUUCUCUAUUACUAUCUGUCUGUUUGUCUGUCUAUCUAUCUUAUUAUCUGUUUUUAUUAUAUCUAUUCAUUUUUAUUAUAAUUAUAUCUAUAUUAUAUCUAUCUGUAUUAUUGUCUCUUUAUUAUCUUUAUACAUCUAUUAUUAUAUUUCUGUUCAUUACAUUAUACUAUCUAUCUAUACUAUAUCUAUCUGUCUAUACUAUAUUUAUAUAAUUUGUUUAUUAUUUAUAUAAUUUGUUUAUUAUGACUUGGACACUUACACUGGAUAAGGACAACGAAGGAGAGAGUACUGAGUAGAAUUUUACACUAUAUAAAAACACAUUCAUGGACUCUUUAAUCAUAAAACAAAAUAAUAUUAUAAUUUUAUUACUAUUAGAACUUAAUAAAAAUAUAAAAGAAGAAAAACAAAGAGACAGUCAAGAUAAAGCUAUAGAUUCCUUCAAAUUGUAAAUUCAUUGAUUUUUUCUGUUUAACUUUAUUAUUUUCAACAAAUGUAUUUAAUAAUUCUACCUCUACUAAAUCUUUUUUCUCUAAUUAUCUCUUUGAUGUACACUCUUAUCUUUAAUUUUCUUAGUCUUUCUUCUAAUUCUAAUAUUCUGUCUUCUGUUGUUCUAGUUAUUAGUUCAUUGUUGUAAAAUUUAUUUAAAUUACAGGUUAAUUUUGGAGUUUCUAAGAUUUCUGAUGCCUUCUCUAUACAUUUUAUGCAUCCAAACGGAUUUGAUAAGUUUUUACCAACUACCGUUUGAGCUGGACUAAUUGUAUCAUUAUCAUAAUUCCAUUUUCUUUCUACUUAUUAUUAUUCCAUUAUCUACAAAUAAUUUAAAGACUUGUUGUAAAUUUCCUAAAUGUUCGCUCAUAUUAUUACUAAAAACUAGAAUAUCAUCUACAUAAACCAAUAUAAAAUUUUUAUAACCUCCAAAAAUACUAUCCAUUUUUCUUUGAAAAAUUGGAGGAGCCGUCUUUAAUCCGAACGGCAUGACCAGCCAUUUAAAAUGUCCUUCUGGACAUGUGAAAGCUGUCCAUUCUUUAAGAAAUCAAAAUUUAAUUUAAUUUUACUUGACAAAUUCUUUUGUUUGUUUUGUAGGUUUUCUAAUAUCUCUAGAGUUUUUAAUAUUUUUGUAUUUUCUUUUUGCACUUUUUUUUCUAGGUUUAUUAUAAAGUCUGUAAUAGUAUUUAGUUGUGGAUUAGCUCCAUGUAAUAUAUGUUCUCCGUUGUUAAAAUUACACCAAAUGUCGAUGAAGAUUCAGGAAUGGAGUUUGAUUCAGAAGCAUUACACAAUCUGGAUAUAUAAGCAAUGACAAUAUCCUUGAAAGACAAAAUUACAGAUAUAUGCGAUGAUGUAACAGAUAAAUAAAUAAACGGAUAAAGUAAAGACAUAGCCAUGUGAUCAUGGGACCUACCCAAGUUGCCAAAAGUCUUGCUAAAGUCAUGAUUUUCUCUCUAGGUACUUAUGUUUAAGUCUUCCAAAGAGGGGUAUUUAUAGGCAUUUGUGGACUUAAAACUUUGACUGUACUUAUCUCCUUUUCUUCAUUACAUACCAUCCCUUCAAAUGGUAAAUUCAUUGAUUUUUUCUGUUUAACUUUAUUAUUUUCAACAAAUGUAUUUAAUAAUUCUACCUCUACUAAAUCUUCUUCUCUAAUUAUCUCUUUGUUGUACACUCUUAUCUCUAAUUUUCUUAUUCUUCCUUCUAAUUCUAAUAUUUUGUCUUCUGUUGUUCUAGUUAUUGGUUCUUUGUUGUAAAAUUUAUUUAAAUUAUGGGUAAGGCUUUGAUGAUUUAACAGAGGCUUUAGAUUAUGCCCGUAUAAAUUUAGAGCUAAAUUAUUUUACUACCCCAUCUUUAAGACCAGAAACGCAAAAAAUUCUUCAAUAUAAUAUUAAAAAAGACACGAACAAAAUUAUAUUUUGUGAUCAUUGUUCCUUUAUGACUGAAGCUUUUAGAAAACUAAAUCACGACAAUGAGGUUUUAAGACAAGAUAAUGAAAACCUUGUAAAUGAAAAAGGACAAAUGUUAGAACAUAUAAGUAUUUUACAAGACCAUAUAAAAAUUCUUCAUUUUGGACUUUCACAAAAGACUCAGCCAAUUUAUGAGACUUAAAAAAUUCUAAAUAAUUCUCCAUCUUCUUCAAAAAUGGAAAAACCCACUGUAUCGGGUAAAGACACAGCUAGUCCAGCUAGUAUAUUUUCUCCCAAAAAUAAAAUAUUUUUGCAUUUUUUGAUUCUUUUGAUUUAGCUACGAAUUGAUAAAACAUCUUAAAAGGUGAAGACUCAGAAUUGAUUUAUAGUAUAGAAGAAAGUAUAAAAGAAUUUAUGGAAAGUGCAGCAAGCAUUGCAAGCCACACCAUAUAUAAUAAAGUCUCUUAGAAUCUUAGGGUCCUGAUACCAAUAAUAAACAAAUUAGUUUUUAGUAAUAAUAUGAGAGAACAUUUAGGACAUUUACAAUAUCUGAUUUUUGACUUCUUUUAAAUCUAUUAUCUACUUCUUGUAAUUCUGUCCAAAUUUCUUCUCUAGAUUCUAAAGAAAGCUCAAAUAACUUAAUACUUAACUGCCUAUGUUGUAGUAAUACAUUAUAUAAUUUUAUAUAUUCUUUCUUAAGAAUUCUAUUAGACCAAUAAUAUUAUGAAUCUAAUAUUACUAGACGUUUGUAAGGCCUAGGUUUACGUUUCUCGGUUCUUAACAACACCAUAUAUAAUAAAGUCUCCUAGAAUCUUAGGGCUCUGAUACCAAUAAUAAACAAAUUAUAUAAAUAAUAAACAAAUUAUAUAACUAUAGUUAGACAGAUAGAUAUAGUAUAGAUAGAUAGUAUAAUGUAAUGAACAAAAGAUAAUAAACAAAUUAUAUAAAUAAUAAAUAAAUUAUAUAGAUAUAGUAUAGAUAGAUAGUAUAAUGUAAUGAACAGAAGACAAAUAUAAUAAUAGAUGUAUAAAGAUAAUAAAGAGAUUAUAUAAAUAAUAAACAAAUUAUAUAACUAUAGUUAGACAGAUAGAUAUAGUAUAGAUAGAUAGUAUAAUGUAAUGAACAAAAGAUAAUAAACAAAUUAUAUAAAUAAUAAAUAAAUUAUAUAGAUAUAGUAUAGAUAGAUAGUAUAAUGUAAUGAACAGAAGACAAAUAUAAUAAUAGAUGUAUAAAGAUAAUAAAGAGACAAUAAUACGGAUAAAUAUAAUAUAGAUAUAAUUAUAAUAAUAAUAUAAUAUAAUAUAUAUUAACAAGCAGAUAAUAUAAAUAUAAUAUAGAUAGAUUAUAAUAAAUAUACAGAUAGAUAUAGAUAUAAUUAUAAUAAAAAUAUAAUAUAAUAUAUAUUAACAAGCAAAAUAUAAUAUAGAUAGAUUAUAAUAAAUACAGAUAGAUAUAAUAUAGAUAUAAUUAUAAUAAAAAUGAAUAGAUAAAAUAAAAACAGAUAACAAUAGAGACAUAUAGAUACAAUAUAGAUAGAUAGAUAUAUUUGGAAAAUACUCCCAAAUAUACCUAAACUUUGAUGAAAUUUGCUGUAACACGCCUGAACUUUGUGGGGUGGGGUCCUAUAACCCCUCUAGAACUUUGCAGGGGUCCUAUGAUCCCCUAAACUAUUUAUUAGCGUAUUUUACUGAUAUUUAUUUGCACUAAAUUCUUUUUUUAAUUUUUUUAGCAUUUUUUAUUUUUUUUAUUAGCAGCUUAUAAAUGUUACUAAAAUACACUAAUAAUUUUGUUAAAGUUUAUGUAUAGUUGAGACUAUUUUCCAUAUAUACAUANNNNNNNNNNNNNNNNNNNNNNNNNNNNNNNNNNNNNNNNNNNNNNNNNNNNNNNNNNNNNNNNNNNNNNNNNNNNNNNNNNNNNNNNNNNNNNNNNNNNNNNNNNNNNNNNNNNNNNNNNNNNNNNNNNNNNNNNNNNNNNNNNNNNNNNNNNNNNNNNNNNNNNNNNNNNNNNNNNNNNNNNNNNNNNNNNNNNNNNNNNNNNNNNNNNNNNNNNNNNNNNNNNNNNNNNNNNNNNNNNNNNNNNNNNNNNNNUAUAAAUUGUAAUUGAUGAAAAGAAUGAGGUUGUGAGUGGUCUCCUUACCUAAUUAUGCACGUGAAUGAUUUUCGAUUAGUAUUAUUCAUAUUAUUAUUGCUCUUGCUUUUCUAUGGUGGUUAUUUGAAUAUUAUUGAAAAGGUGUGAAUCUUCUCCUAAAGCUUUUACAAAGUUCAAGUAUGAGAAAUAUUUUUACCUAAACAAUCGUAUUGACUUAAAGAGCUUGACUAUUUGAUCUUUGAAUUAUCCUAUAAUGGUCAACGAUUCAUGACAUGUAAGAGGUGAAAUAGAACAUGUAAUAUGGCUUAUGGGACUUGCAAGUCUUGAUAUGACGAUUUCAAAUUAGACAAAUGUCGUUUCAGACUACAAACCAUGUUUUAAGAAAGAAGGAUGUUUUAAAUAGCUAAAAUAUGGGCUUAAAGAGAGUUAGGUGGCUAACCGAUAAGACAUGGGUCCAAAACCCAUAGCCCAAAAUCGUGUUUUUCCAAUGAGGAAUUGAUCCAGUCCUGAAAUACGGAUGAUUAUUGUAUAUUUGUUUUAUGCUUUGGUAUAUCAGACCAGACACUCUAAUUCUUGUGGAAAACUCAGAUUGGGGGCUUGACUGACGAGUCAAUGUCGGACCCUGCAUUGAUCGUGGGGUUUUUCAGACCAUGUCGGGUAUGCCACCUAACUCAGAAUUAAAGAACAUCCUAGUGUAGUCCCAGAAAGCAGUUUUUGAUUUGAAAUUCAUGUCUACAGACUGAGUUGAUAUUUUAUGACCCCAUAUUAUAAUUUGUACAGUGUUUUCACUGUUAAUGCUAUUUUAAAUGUUUUUUUAUUUUUACAUUCUACAUGCCAAUACAUUUCAAGUAUUGACCGUCCUCGAGCGACUGCAUUGUCUCACAAUAUAGGUUCUAAGGCUCAGUUUCGUGGUCUAUUUCAGCAGUAGAACCUUUUGGAAGUUUCAAAAUUGGUGAGCCAUCCAUAUCCCGAAACGCGUUCUAUUCAUAUGUUUUAUCUUUAAGUUCAUGGUCUGGCCAGGGGCCUCGUCUUGAUCUAGACAGUUAUUCAUUAAGUAGAGGCUUCGCCGACUGAAUUUAAUAAUUUUUUUAUGACUUGACUUUAAAAGUUUGAUUAUGAGAUGUCCUGAACUUUAUUUUUUCUUCCAUAUUGGAUGUGAAUAAUGUGUAUGAUGGUAUGCUAAUGGGCCUCUCAAGCUUUUGAGGUUUGUAACGCUCAUCACAACCAGGGCCUCAGCUCAGGUCAUGACAAACUUGAUAUCAGAACAUAGUUUAGGGUCAUAGGGUGUUUACGAAGCUGUGUUGAAUAGAGUACCUUUUAUAGGUGUGUAGCAUUCCACACUUAUAAGGGGAAGGCUAUAAGGCAUUCAGGAAUGUGUCUCUUUCUUCAUGUUCUAGUUUGUGCUAGAGAGUCUAGCUACAAUGAAAUCUUCCUAACCUUUGACUUUUUGCAUUUCAGAUCAUGCCUUCAUGAAGAUCUAAUGGUCCCUACUGGGGCAAAUGCUGAGGCGGUCUGCCCUACCCAUGGGAUGCAAACCCAAUACAGAGCCCGUGCUCGUGGCUUUACUUUUCCUCCUGCAGUUCCACUAGCCCCAAUUAGUCCUUUUAGAUCUCCUAUCACCAACAUUAACCGCACUCAGUCUCCACAGAAAAAAGUCUCUAAUGCUGAGUUCCACCAGUCCAUGCACAUGUUUGCUCAACUCGUGGCAUCACAAUUUUAUCAAUCUGUAAAUGUUGGUUUUGUUACUAGUUCUUCUGAAGUCACUCGGGUUGGUCAAUUUAUGAGGAUGAAUCCACCUAGUUUUACAGGGUCCAAGAUUUAGAAAGAUCCUCAAGAAUUUGUAGAUGAGAUAGAGAAGACAUUUAGAGUUUUGCAUGCUAAUGAUACAGAGGGGGUAGAGUUUGCAGCCUAUCAGUUGAAAGGAGUGGCUUACCAAUGGUAUGGUAUGAUGAGUGGGAAGAGUUAAGAGGUAAAAAUGUUGAAUUUGCAGUAUGGGAAAUUUUUUUGAUGCUUUCCUUAUUCACUUCUUUCCUUGAGAGUUGAGGGAAGCUAAGGUUGAGGAAUUUGUGAAUCUAAAGUAGGGUAAGAUGAGUGUCAAAGAGUAUGCAUUGAAGUUCACCCAACUGUCUCGUUAUGCCCUAAAGUUUUGUCCACUAUGAGGUCUCGUAUAAGGAAGUUCGCGUUCGAUCUUUCUAAUGAUUUUGUGUUAGAGUGUUAGGGGCUAUGCUGAACAGUGAUAUGGAUAUCUCCAGGUUGGUAGUGUAUAUGCAGUAGGUAGAGAAAGAGAAGAUUAGCAGGUAGAGAUAGAGGAUAGACAGACUAAGAGAUCUAGGUCUACAGAUCAGGAUGUCAGUCAACAACAGGGUGACAAAUGGGAAAGAAAUAGUCCAAGAAGAAAUUUUAGGGUGAUGUUCAGUCAUCAGCUAGUGCACCUACACCUAGUCAAUCAUUAAUUCCAGCCAAAUAAUGGGUCAAGGAUGCAAGGCCUACAGUCUCAGGGUAGUGUAGUGAUGUGCCAUAGAAAUAUAACACUUACGAUGCUUAAAAUUGGAAAAUAUGCAUGUACUUAAGGUUAUUUUGUUAGAUUUGAUGUAUUUUUGGAGUGUUUUGCAGGAAAUUAGGUUUCAGAUGCUAAAUUCAAGAAAAAGAUGAAAAGUGAUGUUUUUGGAUACUUAUUUAAUCUAUUAUAGAUUUUCGAGACACUUUUUGGAUUAUUCGUGACCAAAACAUGUGUCGAGAUUGAAGAAGAGCUAAAAGAAAUAACUUUCGGCACAUGCUAAGUCAACAUGCGAACCACAUGUAGUACAUGUGGACCGCAUGUGGGCAAAGCACGUGUCAGAAGUCCAAAAUCCCGAUAGCUAACCUGUAGGAAAUUUUGGUCCGAGCACAUGCGGUCACUACAUCCGCCCAGCCUGUAGGCCGCAUGUACCACAUGCGCCCAAGGCCAGGGCACAUGUGGAGACCACAUGUAGCCACCAACCUCAACUUUUCCAGACAAUUCCAAAAUCAUUUCGUAGGGUUUCUAUGUAUCCUAAUUACACUCCUAUGAUGUUUUUAAGUCUUAUUAUGUACGUUUAGUUAAGUUUUCAUAUUUUACUUAGGAUUUGAAUUCUAGGGUUUCUUGUAAUCUAUAAAUACCCUUUAGGCUUUGUUUAGUUUAUUCAUUCACACAUCCAUACAUUCACAUAUCCAGGUGUAGGCCCUUAGGGGCUACUUAUAAUCUCAUUGUUCUUGGUUUGUUUUUGGUUUGUUAUUCAAUUUAAGACUUUGGGAUUUCUUAUUUCAUUAUUAUGAGAUUGAUUUUGCAAUUUUGUCAGUGGACUCCAUGAUUGAUCUCAUAACUAUGAGCGGCUAAUUUCCUUAGCUAGAAUUGUGGAAACCCUGGAAAGUUAACAAAGUAGAGGAAGUGCCAAGUCGUUCUAGAUAAAUAUUCUUACAUGUAUUGGGUUUUCUUCAUUCUUCUUGAUUUCUUAGCAGUGGCGAACAUUAAGAUCCUGCCUAGAUUAUUACUACUUACUCCAAAAGAGGAGUAGUGACUAGGAAAAGAGAAUCACAAUAAUAAUUAAAGUUUUAACUGUUGAUCUACGCUACUAGUUAUUAUCUAAGUAAGUUGGUGAUCUAUCAUCUAAUGACUAGAGACUCAAAGGUAAUAGUUAACUGGGAUCAAGAAAAGGGUUAGUAAGGCGAUAUCCUGAGACUCAAAAGAUAAAGGGUAAAAUCUGUCAGCUCGUCUAAAAGACUAUUGAUGGUACAUAACAUAUCGAUUCUGUAUGCAAGAUAUUUUUAUAGUUUGACAGUUUAUGAUAAGUCUACUGAGUUGAGAAGUCAGGGGGAAUACAAGCCUACUGUUCGUCUUAGAUUGUUUAUAACCAAAAGCAACUAAGCCUUGUUGGCUAGUUACUAUAAAUCCCCCCUUUUUACUUUUCUGCAUUGCCUGGAGAUGUCAACAAGUUUGAGAUAGAUUUUUAGCCUAUUCCUUGUGGGAUCAACCCCAACCUAGUUAGGUUACUAUAUUUUGACAACGACUGCUUUAUCCUUCUAAGGAGUGGUAGUUUGGGUUUUAUCAAAUUUUGGCCCCGUUGUCGGGAAAAUAUGGUUUCAGAGUCCUUUAUUGAAGUUAUUAGUGUUGUCGGAUUUUAUUUUAUUUUUUGUUUGUUUUGUUGACCUACUCUUCUUGAGAUGACAACCUGGCUAAAGGAAAUAUAGAGUGAUGAUGACUCCUUCUUUAUUGAUCCUCUUUCUUUUGUUAUGGUGCAUUACUGCAUGAGUGUGAUAAACAUAUUGUUGGAACACAAUAAGAGCAUUCUUGACACAUUGGCACUUCUUUAAAAAAGAAGACAAGAUCAUAUUCAAAAGGUUGAUAGGCUUGGGUUGGAUAUCUACCACUUACAAGUAGAGUUGGAUGCAAAAGAUGCUGUGUGUAACGCCCAACAAAAUAGUUAUGGGUGGUGUGAAACUGAAAAAGUUCCGAGAAGUCAACUUGAGGAGUUGAAAUUAUAGGAGUCAAAAAUUUCUCAUGCUCUUAUGGAUAGUGUCACUCUUAAGGAGAACAUACUAGAAUUAUGUGGGAAUGUAAAGAAGACUACAAAUCAUGAGUUAGGGCGUGUUGGACCUCAUUCUAAGCAUUUCCACAUUGUGUUUGGAUAGUUAGAUCUUGUUCGAGCCCGAAGAAGAGUGCAAGGAAGAGGAAACAUAUGUUUAUAUUCUUGAAUUUGCUGAACCAGAAACAAAGAACUGCAUUCCUAACAUAAGGGCCAAGAAGUACAACAUAGCACAUCUAUUUCUUGGGACCUUUAUUUUUCUACCUCUGCCCCAUGAGCAUAAUGGGAACUUAGGAAAAUAAUUAGGGGUGCAGUUCAUAAGUUCAAAGUGGAAAGAGAAAAAUGGAGGCAAACUCUUGGGCUACCUUGAUGAAGUCUGAGUAAUCAAGGUACCCAUGGGCUUGUUGGGAAAGUAUGAGUACCCAACCAAGUCUUGUUAUGCCGCAACGUGAAAUCAAGCACUACUUGGGAGGCAACCCAAGGUAUUUUGUUGUUUGUAUUCGUAUUUGUAUUUGUCUAAUCGACGUCAGAUCUCCACACCUAUGGUACCACAAGUAUGUUCCUAACUCUUUUGUUUUGUAGAUGUUUAAUGCAUUGGGGAUAAUGCAUGAUUUUAAGUUGGGGGUGGGGCUGCUUGUGGGUCUUGAUGUCCUCUUGGGGUUUUUGUUGUCGUGCCUCUUUUCCUCGGAGUUCUGUUCCUAGUGAGCCAGCAUGUUUAGGUGUAUUGUGUUUUGUUUUGUGAUAUUUUGUUUAACUAGGAGAAAAAUGAGUAUCUAGGGAAAUUGACAUGUUUUUGUUAAUUUUUGAGAUAAAUGAUAAUAGCUCUCCAAUUUUCUAUUUUUAAACUAUGUGAUACGUAUAUAUAUGUGACUAUUAUGAAUAUUAUUAUGACACUAGGAUUAGGGACAUGAUAAUCAUAGCUACCAAUUGCAUGAAUUGGAUAGGAAGUAACUUAUGAUGUGACCCUGUGCCAUGUGUGUAUGAGAUACUACUUAGUUCCCUUUGUAUGUUGAAUUCAGAACUUGCCCGGUUAGUCUUGCCUAGGUUGUAGGUUAGUCGGUUAGAAAAGGAUCAUAGACCCUUUUUGAUGUUAAUCCACUUUUAGCCUAAAUGACCUUCCCACUGUGAAAUAGUAUCUCUUGAUCCCUGUUUUGAGCCUUAUAGCCUAUUUCUUUGUUUUCACUUUUCAACUUUCCAUUUGUGUUACAAUGAAUCUAUUUUGGACCUGGUCCUCCUUGGACAUUGUGCACCUCAACUCAGGCAAAUCACCUAAGUUGAGGGUGACUAUCAUAGGGGUGUGUAAUAUAAAGUGGGUGUGAAAAAGGGAGAAAUAAAAGAAAAAAAGUAGGGUUGAGUGUGGUAGAAAAAUAAAAGAAAAAGAAAAAGAAAAAAAUAGUGAAAAAGAAUAAGAAAAGCACACCUAACCUGAAUAUGAAACCACACCUAACCUGAAUAUGCUUUAAAAUAAAAAGGGAGAAAUAAGGGAGGAAAUUGGUUAAAAUAUGGACCCCAAAGUUAGUGUAGUGCCAAGGAGGCUUAGUCACUUGAUAUAUCUAUAUUUACCAUACCAGCCCCCAAACCUACAUUACAAGCUGAAUAAAGUCCUAUAGUGAUCCUAACUUGACUGUCUAAAAACUAAGGUAAAGAAAAUAAGGGCAAGCCUAUGGUAUUUGAUGCACUCUGAUUGGAGCUUCUUUUGUGAGUGUGAGUGUCUCUUGACCGUCCUUCAUUUACAUGCAUUAUUUUAUAUGAGUGAGUGGGACUUCUUUGCUGUGAGGGCACGCGGGUUGUAUUGCAAGCUGCUUACUUGUUUGGGUAGUGUUGUUUGUUGCUAAUGUAAUGCCAUAGCUUGAUUCCCUUAUGUACCAUUGUUGUGCUUCAUUGAUACACACAAUUGAUUUUAAAAUGAUUGAACUUAGAGAGGGUAAUGAUCUUGAGCUUAAAUUUGAUGAUUGUUUGCCAUAGGUAUCUUAGGUUUCGAUAUGAGACUCUUGUGUGCUAUGGUUGCGGUGAGGCCGAUAAUUUUCAGAGAGAUUUUCCCUCGGCCAAAGGGAUCUUUGGGGGUACUAAGCCCAAACUACUUCUCCAUCCUCUCUAGCUAAGGGUUCCACUUUCGGUACAGGCGAGGGUCGUAACCGUUUGUAUGGUUUAUCUACUCUUCAGGACUCAGAGGCCUCACCAGAUGUUGUUACGGGUAUGUUACAAAUCUUCUCCAAUGAUGUUUAUGGCCUACUCGAUUCCAGGUAUGCUCCAUCUUAUGUAACUCCUUGUGUGGCUGUGGGUUUUGGAUUUGGCCCUAAAAAUAUUUCCUAACCCUUGUUGAUUUCGACCUCUGUUGGUGAGUCUAUUGUUGCUAGAAAAGUCUAUAGAAAUUGUGUAGUGUCUAUUUUUUGAUCGAGAUACUAUGGUAAACCUUGUAGAGCUUGACAUGGUAGACUUUGAUUCGAUUCUAGGGAUGGAUUGGCUUCAUUCCUGUUUGCUACCAUAGAUUAUAGAACUAUAAAGGUUAUAUUCUGUUUUCCUAACGAACCUAUCAUAGAAUGGGAGAAAGAUUCUUUAGCACCCAAGGGAUGGUUCAUAUCUUAUCUUAGAGCCCAUAAACUGAUAUCUAAAGGUUGUUUGUACCAUCUAGUUUGGGUCAAAGAUUCCAGUACCGAGAGUUCCUCUUUUAGUCGGUACCAGUGGUUAAUGAGUUUUCUCAAGUCUUUCCUGAUGAUCUCCCGCGGAUUCCCCCAGACAGGGAGAUAUACUUUGGUAUUGAUCUAUUGGACGACACUCAACCCAUUUUCAUUCCACCAUAUAAAAUGGCUCCUGCGGAGCUAAAAAAAUUGAAGGAAUAGUUAAAAGACCUUCUUGAUAAAGGUUUUAUUUAUCCUAGUGUCUCUCCUUAAGGUGCUCCCAUACUCGUCGUGCAUAAGAAAUAUAGUUCCCUCUGUAUGUGUAUAGACUACUGACACUUGAAUAAGGUUUUUGUAAAGAAUAAGUACCCUCUACCCAGAAUGAAUGAUCUUUUUAACCAUCUUCACGGUGCUAGAUACUUCUCUAAGAUAGACCUUCAUUCAGAUUAUCAUCAGUUGAAGGUUAGGGAGGCCUAUAUCCCCAAAACUAUCUUCCAAACCUGAUGUAGUGAUUAUGAAUUUUUGGUCAUGUCCUUUGGAUUGACUAAUGCACCUGCAGGUUUCAUGGACCUCGUGAACAUGGUAUUCAAAUAGUUUUUUGGAUUUAUUCAUCAUAGUUUUCAUUGAUGAUAUUCUGAUUUACUCCAAGAGUAAGGAGGAUCAUGUCGAUCACCUACGGAUCAUACUUCAGACCCUUAAGGAUCAAGAGUUGUAUGUUAAAUUUUCUAAGUGUGAAUUCUGGCUUAGUAUAGUAGCUUUUCUGGGGAAUAUUGUUUCUAGUGGAGGGAUUAAGGUUGAUCCUCAAAAGACUGAGGUAGUGAAGAAAUGGCCUAGACCCGCAACUCUAACUAACAUUAGGAGCUUCUUGGGUCUGGUAGGUUAUUAUACGAGGUUUGUGGAGAGUUUUUCGUCUAUAGCUGCUCUACUUACUAGGUUGACUCAGAAGAAGGUAAGAUUUUAUGGUCCAAGGCUUGUGAAAGUAGUUUUGAGAGAUUGAAAGACAAGUUGACCAGUGCACUGGUUCUGACCCUUCUCGAAGGUACAAAUGAAUUUGUUGUGUAUUUUGAUGCAUCCCGAAUGGGACUUUGUUGUGUACUUAUACAACAUGGUAAAGUGGUAGCUUAUGAAUCCAGAUAAUUGAAGCUUAUACAACUACGUCAUGGUUAUGUUGAAGCCUUGGACCUUGUGAAGUAAGGAUGGUCGGCCAGCUCGAUUGUUAACACGAAUCAACUCUUUUGGGGAAUAAAAUAAAAGGAAAAGAAAAAAUAAAAUACAAAUGAUGUUAGUUUUAAUAAAAAGAUCAAGUAAAGUGUGCUCAUGUAAAUUUAGUAGAUUAUGUAGCAAGUGGUCAAGUAAAGUCAAAUAAAUUAUAAGAUAACAUGUAGACAAAUACAUCAAGCAAUAAUAACAUGUUCCUAAUAUGUGGGUGACUCCUUUAUGCCGGAGGUAGGUCUAAGCGCCAAAUAUUAAGCGACAUUUUGAUAAAUUGAUCCAAGCUUUAAUUAAUGACAUUACUUGAGUUUGGAGUUAAAAAAUUUUAAACUCAAUUUUGGACAAAUUUUGGCUUGGAUCAAUUUGUCAUUAUCUUUACUCAUAAUAUGAGGGUCGUCAUUGGGUUGUGAAACCCAUUUGACAUAAAAGGUGUUUUCCUAGUUGUGGAAUGACACCAUGGGUCAAGCCAUCUAAGGUUUAUGCAUGCAUGACCUAAAUCAAAGGUGGUAACGCUCUAUCUUAAGCUUUCUAAUAUUUAGGUAGUCGCAGACUUGAAUUUCCUAUAUGAGAAGGCACGUGGUCCCACGGCAGUAAAACUCCCGCUCACUCCACAUAUGCGCUGACUCUCUAAAGUAAGAAGAUUUGAAAGAAUUUUGGGAAAGUAUAAUCCACAUGUACAAUGUGUGUGAGUGUCAGUUUUUUGAAAUGGAGGAAAUAUAAACGGAAUGUCAAUUUAUAUAAAGCGAUAAACAAAUAAGCAAUUUAUAGCAAAUAAAUAAUUUAUGCCCCACAAACAUGAUAAAUCACGACAAUUAAGGUGAAACAAAUAACAAUAUAUAAAAAUUUAAAUAUUAACCUAAGCUUGUUAAGGUUAAGAACCUAAGUCCCCAGUGAAGUCGUCAAGCUGUCGUACUCCAUUUUUAUACGGGUCAAACCGAGGUACAAUAUAUUGGAAACCUCUAUGUAAAAUUAAGAAAGUCGUUACCUAAUCAGUAUUACGAAGAAUUAGGACACCCAUUAUAAACUAUGUGAUUAAAAGAAAAUAAGGACUUCAUUUUAGAUCUACACAAUUUAAAAGAUUCUAGGUAAGGGUUCUAAUUAUCCUAAAGGGAAGGGGAUUAGGCACCCUAAAGGAUCCGUCAACUACGAUUAACCGGCCGAACUUAGGUUAAUAAAAGAGCUAUGUGUAAAAGAUGAAAAAAAAUGCUAAGUGAAAACACUUGUUGAAAAUAAAAUUGAAACUAAAAAGUUGUAAAAAUAUUAUUUAUUCUUGAUUUGAGGAAAAAAAAAAAGGAGAAGGAUCAAUUUAAGUUGAUAAAAUAUUUUGGUGCCAAUAACACAAAUACUGAAAAAUGAUUUUUGAAAAAAAGUAGAACAACCCAAAACGUGUGUUACAACUUUUGAGAAAAAGAUAACUGACGCUAUUCAUUUUAGUUGCUACAAAAUUAUUUGUUUUACUCACAAAAAAACCAUUAUAGCUAAUUUGCAAAUGAAUUAUAUUUAGUUUUAAUGUUCAAAUACAAACUCUGAAAAUUCAAAUAUUCUAAGGUUGUGACAAAAUAAGGAAAGAUUUUGAAAAGAACCUUGGACACAAAGUAAAAUUUGAAGCUCGUGAAAUUCGAUUUGGCAAGAAAUCAUUUUUUGGCUCGAAAAUGUACCACACGAGAAAAUGCAUAUAUCAAAAUUUUCAAAAUUUGAUUAACCUGACCCGAAAUGAUUUGAACCAAAACUAAACGAUUAACUCACUGAUCUUAUGAACUAACAGGCCAACCCAUAGAUUACUUUUGCUUACAAACAACCAAAAGCCAGUCUUAUAUCUGUGGUCAUUUACUCCCAACUACUUCAAAAAUCAAACAAAUUAUUAAAACAAACACACAAGUAUUCAAUGUGAAACAAGCCAAAACAAACACACAAAUGUUCAAGAUGAAACAACUAAAUGAAAGUUAUCAAGUAUGACGCUACGAAUAAGCAGCUAAAGGAAGAAUAUAGCGGAACGUUUGACACUUCUUCUUACCUCUCUUUGCGAUUUCUAUUCGGAUAGAGUCUCUAGGGAGCGAGAGCUGUUUGUGAAGAUGUAUAUGCACGUUUCAACUCUUGCAGUGACGACGAGUUUUAAAGUAAACUCUUCGACUCCGAUGUCCAUGUAAGAAAAUUGAAUUAGCUAGAAAGAAUAUGAUAAAGAAAUGUGCGAAUAAAAGUUAAUAUAACUUGUGAGCUUACAACGCAACAAAUAAUUUUUAUAUGCUACGAAAAUUGACUAACUGAUCUCAUAUUUCUUUGACUCGAAUAAAUCUUUACAAAAACCCAUAUUUGGAACUCCCUUUCUAUGAUUAAACACGAGGAAUAGAUGGACUGCAAGAAAAGUUAAAGUACCUUAAAGACAAAUUUAUCUAGAGUUAAAAAGGGACUCUGAAGGCUCCUUUUAUAUCCAAAAUAAAGGAGGGCUUGCAACGGUUCUCUAGUUUGAAUUCUUGGAAAGCCCAAAUCACAGAGAGCAAACAAAGGGAUGAAAUUGGAUAUAAAAGAAAAAGAUUGAAUUUUUACCUUAGGGUUAAUUUAAAAAGGGAAAGAGAUGGCUUGGAAGCUUUUACUUUCGGACCCAUUAAAUUAAGGUUGGAAUCGAAGGUGAAACCACCUUGAAUCCAUUGAAUCUUCAAAUUUAUCAUCUUCUCCCUAAAUUGCAGAUUUUUGGCUCUAUUUUUGCUUUAGAAAAGUGAUGGAAGAGAUGGGUGAUGUUGACGGACAUGGAAAUAGAAUUGGGGAGAGAAGAGACCACUGGAUUUUCCAUUAUCCUGUGGUUUCGGGGUUGCUCAACGUCACUGGUGGAUAUUAUUUUUGUUGUUGCUUGUGUUGUUGUACAUUGGUAUUGUUGUUGGUGUGUUUUAUUGGGUAAGGAGAAAG
rnacentral:lncRNA from 1 species